rnacentral:rRNA from 1 species
AUACGUAGGUGACAAGCGUUAUCCGGAUUUACUGGGCGUAAAGGGCGUGUAGGCGGUCUUGCAAGUCAGAAGUGAAAUUCCUGAGCUCAACUCGGGCGCUGCUUCUGAAACUGCAGGACUUGAGUGCUGGAGGGGAUAGCGGAAUUCCUCGUGGAGCGGUAAAAUGCGCAGAUAUUAGGAAGAACACCGGUGGCGAAGGCGGAUAGCUGGACAGAAACGGACGCUGAGGCGAAAAAGGGUGGGGAGAAAACAGGAGUAGAUCCCCUGGUAGUCCACGCCAUAAACGAUGAAUACUAGGUGUAGGGGGUAUCGACCCCCUCUGUGCCGACGUUAACACAUUAAGUAUUCCACCUGGGGAGUACGGCCGCAAGGCUGAAACUCAAAGGAAUUGACGGGG